CGGACGGGUGAGUAACACGUGGAUAACCUACCUAUAAGACUGGGAUAACUUCGGGAAACCGGAGCUAAUACCGGAUAAUAUAUUGAACCGCAUGGUUCAAUAGUGAAAGACGGUUUUGCUGUCACUUAUAGAUGGAUCCGCGCCGCAUUAGCUAGUUGGUAAGGUAACGGCUUACCAAGGCAACGAUGCGUAGCCGACCUGAGAGGGUGAUCGGCCACACUGGAACUGAGACACGGUCCAGAUUCCUACGGGAGGCAGCAGCC
rnacentral:rRNA from 1 species